GAUGAACGCUGGCGGCGUGCCUAAUACAUGCAAGUCGAGCGAAUGGAUUAAGAGCUUGCUCUUAUGAAGUUAGCGGCGGACGGGUGAGUAACACGUGGGUAACCUGCCCAUAAGACUGGGAUAACUCCGGGAAACCGGGGCUAAUACCGGAUAACAUUUUGAACCGCAUGGUUCGAAAUUGAAAGGCGGCUUCGGCUGUCACUUAUGGAUGGACCCGCGUCGCAUUAGCUAGUUGGUGAGGUAACGGCUCACCAAGGCAACGAUGCGUAGCCGGCCUGGGAGGGUGAUCGGGCACACUGGGAAUGGAACACGGCCCAGACUCCUACGGGAGGCAGCAGUAGGGAAUCUUCCGCAAUGGACGAAAGUCUGACGGAGCAACGCCGCGUGAGUGAUGAAGGCUUUCGGGUCGUAAAACUCUGUUGUUAGGGAAGAACAAGUGCUAGUUGAAUAAGCUGGCACCUUGACGGUACCUAACCAGAAAGCCACGGCUAACUACGUGCCAGCCGCCGCAGUAA
rnacentral:rRNA from 1 species